ensembl:lncRNA
GGGAGAGAGGAGGAGGACGAGGAGAGAGAGGAAGACGAGCACCAGGCGAGGAGAGAGAGGAAGACGAGCACCAGACGAGGAGAGAGAGGAAGACGAGCACCAGACGAGGAGAGAGAGGAAGACGAGCACCAGGCGAGGAGAGAGAGGAAGACGAGCACCAGACGAGGAGAGAGAGGAAGACGAGCACCAGGCGAGGAGAGAGGGAAGACCAGCACCAGACGAGGAGAGAGAGGUCGAGCUGUAAACAACAGCUACAAAAAUGAAGAAUAAGAGGUUGAAAAGCCACUAAAACUCUACUUCCUGUGAUGAGUUUCACUUGAGAAGGAAGAGCGAGAGAGAGAGAGAGAGAGCAUCACAGCUACUGUAGGACAUCUUGUCUGCCAUUUCAACCCUAACAGCCACAUGACACCCCUGAUGGGAUCCUUAUAUUAAUGAACUAAGAUAUAAAGUAAGGAGAAGAUCAAAUCUACUGCUAGACUUUGACUGGGGUUGACCAGACCCAUAUAGGACUUUUAAUGUUUGAGAAUAUUCACUGUUAAUGGACAGAACGCUUAUCGCUUCACAGAACAAAAUAACAUUACUAAAAAAAUGGGUUUUGUUGCUUUUGGGUUUAGUUAUUUUGUUAUGUUUUUUUUUCUUUAUUUCUCUUUUGUUUCUAGUUUUAAAGGGUGGGAGAUGUGGUCCAGACUAACACAGAAAGUUCAAACUGGUCGAAACUGAAUUGAACAGGUUUAACACUGACCCUGGAAUGCACUGGUCUGACCCUGGAUUGAAUUGGUCUGAAGCAGUACUUCCUAUUAAAGAAAACAGAUGCUGUUGGCUUAAACUCAUAUCGAGUAAAUUAUAUAUUUUUGGUUUCAUAUUAUUUUGUUUUGAUUUAAUUUCUUACGUUUGAUUUAUUUUAUUUCAGUUAAUUUAUUUUUUAUAUAUAUUUCUUUUAAUUAGCCCAUUGGGGGGGUGAAUAUGAUUUCUGUAAAUACUGUUUUGUUUCCUAGUCUCUGUGUCAAUGAUUGACAAGCAGGAAUAGAUCACAGUCCUCACUCCUAUCACCACACAGACCAUCACUUUUCAUUUAUGAAUGAAUUCCUGUGUAAUAAUAGCGAUGGCAAUGAUGAUGACUGUGAUGAUGAAGAUUAAGAAAUGUUUCGCUAACGCCAUCAAACGAUGACAUCUACCAGAUAUCCACAAGACAAGUCUGAUUUUUGUUUAUUUGGUGAUUGUUUUGUCAAAUAUGUACAUUUAGUCUUGGUUUCAGGAUACAGGCCUCACAGAGAGGGAGUUUGAUAGACUUCAGGCUACGAGGGACAGGCCUCACAGAGAGGGAGUUUGAUAGGCUACGAGGGACAGGCCUCACAGAGAGGGAGUUUGAUAGACUUCAGGCUACGACGGACAGGCCUCACAGAGAGGGAGUUUGAUAGACUUCAGGCUACGACGGACAGGCCUCACAGAGUUUGAUAAUGUAAAAAGGAAACCUUCACUCAUUCACAUUUGUCAGAUUAUUUAAAGAAAGGAAGACAAAAAAAAGAAUUGAUUCAGUGUCAAAUGUUUUGUUCUUGUAUUCACACUUUGCAUCAAAUCACAUAUUAUUUAUUAGCCUGGUGAUUAUUUCCUGUCACAUGACCCUUAAGUUAAUUAAGUUAAGUUAAUUAAGACCGGAGGGGGAGGAGAGACAGUUAAUUAAGACCAGAGAGAGGGAGGGAGGGGGAGGAGAGACAGUUAAUUAAGACCAGAGAGAGGGAGGGAGGAGGAGGAGAGACAGGAAGUACAAAGGUAAAACAUGAGAUGUACUGUUAGUGUGUUAAACUCAAUCAAAUACACUCACACCCAAAAACAGGUUCAAUUUAUGGAUCCAAAAAAAAGGUCAAAUAUUUUGGAUCUAUGAAAUCCCAAAAAAACUAUUGUAUUCAUGUUUUAUUACAAAGAUGUAAAAUAUGACCACGUGUGAGUUGAAAGUUGGAAGAAAAUACAAAUAAAAUAUGCAAAGAAUUUGUUGAUCUG